AAUGAACGUUGGCGGCAUGGAUUAGGCAUGCAAGUCGAGCGAGAAGUGUAGCAAUACACGGAAAGCGGCGGAAGGGAGAGUAAUACGUGGGAAUCUGCCCUUAGACCUGGGAUAGCAGCGGGAAACUGCUGGUAAUACCAGAUAAUGUCUAUGGACCAAAGGUGUGAUUCCGUCUAGGGAUGAGCCCACGUCCUAUUAGCUAGUUGGUAGGGUAAUGGCCUACCAAGGCGAUGAUGGGUAGCGGGUGUGAGGGCAUGACCCGCCUCACUGGGACUGAGACCCUGCCCAGACACCUACGGGUGGCUGCAGUCGAGAAUCUUCGGCAAUGGGCGCAAGCCUGACCGAGCGAUGCCGCGUGCGGGAUGAAGGCCUUCGGGUUGUAAACCGCUGUCGAGGGGGAGCAACUUCCAUAGAGUUAUCUUUAUGUAUUGAGUGAUCCCUGGAGGAAGGACGGGCUAAGUUCGUGCCAGCCGCCGCCGUAAAAC
rnacentral:rRNA from 1 species